UACAGAGGGGGCAAGCGUUGUUCGGAAUUACUGGGCGUAAAGGGCGCGUAGGCGGCCUUCUAAGUCGAACGUGAAAUCCCUGGGCUCAACCCAGGAACUGCGUCCGAUACUGGGAGGCUUGAAUCCGGGAGAGGGAUGCGGAAUUCCAGGUGUAGCGGUGAAAUGCGUAGAUAUCUGGAGGAACACCGGUGGCGAAGACGGCAUCCUGGACCGGUAUUGACGCUGAGGCGCGAAAGCCAGGGGAGCAAACGGG
rnacentral:rRNA from 1 species